UGGGGAAUUUUGCACAAUGAGCGAAAGCUUGAUGCAGCGACGCCGCGUGGAGGAUGACGGUCUUCGGAUUGUAAACUCCUGUUAAGUGGGAAAAAAUGUUGAUACCUAAUACGUAUUGAAGCUGAUAGUACCACUAGAGAAAGCACCGGCAAACUUCGUGCCAGCAGCCGCGGUAAUACGAAGGGUGCUAGCGUUAUUCGGAAUAACUGGGCGUAAAGAGCGUGAAGACGGUUUUUUAAGUCAUCUGUUAAAUAGCCCGGCUUAACUGGGCAGAUGCGGGUGAAACUGAAGAACUAGAGUGCAGGAGAGAAAGGUAGAAUUCUCGGAGUAGCGGUUAAAUGCGUAGAUCUCGAGAGGAAUACCGGUUGCGAAGGCGGCCUUUUGGCCUGUUACUGACGUUCAAGCGCGAAAGCGUGGGGAGCAAACAGG
rnacentral:rRNA from 1 species